rnacentral:rRNA from 1 species
UACGAAGGGGGCUAGCGUUGCUCGGAAUCACUGGGCGUAAAGGGUGCGUAGGCGGGUCUUUAAGUCAGGGGUGAAAUCCUGGAGCUCAACUCCAGAACUGCCUUGAUACUGAAGAUCUUGAGUUCGGGAGAGGUGAGUGGAACUGCGAGUGUAGAGGUGAAAUUCGUAGAUAUUCGCAAGAACACCAGUGGCGAAGGCGGCUCACUGGCCCGAUACUGACGCUGAGGCACGAAAGCGUGGG